rnacentral:lncRNA from 1 species
CUACUACAUCAAUCAGACCACAAGGUGCCCUUUCAGGAAAGUAAUGGAGUAUAAUCAACCUAACUUCAUUGAUCUACAAGGACUACUGAAAAUUAUAAAACUUUCUUUGGGAUUCUAACAUGCCAGAAACCACUAGAAAAAGAAGUUUGAUAUCUCAGAGGUUCUCCUCAUCGUGGUAUAGAGACCAAAAUGAUACUUUCAAAAAGCCUGACAGGUUUCUCCGGAAAAGUGACCAUCCAUGGAAUGAAUGAAAUGUUCCCUUUCUAUUCCAGGGAUUGCAGUGGCAAAGCUAGGCUAGGUCUUGGAGGCUGGUGUAAGGCGAAGGGGGUGAAGGCAGGAGGCUGAUGGAGAGACUGAGGGGAAUAAAAGCCGAAAUGGAUUCACGGUGCCUUGGAUGGAGGACGAGAGGGGAAUUGCAAGCUCCUUCAACUCGUUCUGUCCGGUGAGAAGUGAUCAAGCUUGGGCUGACAAGAGGCUCAGGGAGCCCUCACGUUCUUUCGCUUUUUUACCUGCCAAUCAAACUGCUACAAGACAACACCCUGAUCUGGCAUGGACAUGGUACAGACAGGCAUGCAGAAGUAACUAGACGUCCAACACAUGCCAAGGUCUUGCGGGCCCAGGAUUUCGAACAAAAGAAAACUCGGUAACGUGACUGUAAAUCAAGGGCAUUUGAGACCAUAGACGCGCGCACCACUGCAAGGGUUAAUUGGAGGAGAGGGAAGAGAGAGGCUCCACCUUGCAGUCUGUGUGAACUUCGGCCAGAAAAAGAGCUGGAGCUCCAGCCGCCGCCGGUGGGAGCCCUGCAGUCCGCGGCACGCGGUCCCUUGUUGUGGGGCAGGUGUGGCGCCGGGUAGAGGCGGGGCGCAACCUGGAAACUGCCGCCUGAGCUGUGGCCCGCGCCCUGCCUACCCUUUGGCGCAUCUGUUUCUUUAUUGCCUGAAAGCCAUCCGACGCGUUGAAGGCGCGAUUAUCGACAAUUUGUCAGCCCGAUUUUGUCGCUUGCAAUAACUUUUGGUGAAGUUUCACUCUCAGGCCCUUGAGUUUCGGGAUGAGGAAAUGUGGUAUGAGAGCAUUGUCCUGUGUUUGGCUUCUCAUUUCCACAGGACCCAGGCAGGCAGAAGAAGGGAAAAGAAAGUUAAUCCGACUGCAGUCACUCUGGCACACAAGCCAUGGGGAAACGGGAGAGAAACUUGUUCCUUCUCCUACAAAACUCUCCCCUUCCCCCUCAAGCCCCUCCCCCCACCAGGUCCUUUUUAAUAGAUCAGUCCCUCAUCUCCCCCCCCCUCCACACACGUAUUCUUGGGCCCACAAUUCUCUUGAGCAACCUAGGACUGAGUUUUUGUGUUUUGUUUGUUUUGCUUCCUUUUUCCUUUGUGUUUGUGGAUGUGGAUUGUUUUUCAGGGACCAGGGGCCAGGACCGCAGCUCUAAACCUGAACCGUUCACCUUCAUGAUCCCUUUCUUCCCCUCUUCUUGAUUGGUGGCUGUCGUGGCCAAGACCAUGCCCUUUCCUGAGCAUGGAGCAGUGGGGCAGCUGCUCUGAAGCAGCUGCUGUGCCUUACCCCUCUUUUCUCAAUCAUUAAAAUUCAAUUUCAAAAUUUCUGUCUUUAACAAUUUCCUAAGGAGACUAUGAAGAAUGCCAAAAGAGUGGGCCUUUUUUCAAGUGGUCAUGUUUCAGCAAAAGGCAGGCACAGUCCAAGUUGCCCUAGGUUGUGCCCUUAUAGGAGCAGGGCAGUGGAUGUUGUGUAAAAUGGAGUGCUGUGCCCACCUUGAACGAGAGACGAGCUCUGGCAGGUCAAGAACCUGGGGAGAGCAACUCCAGCUUUUCCAUCCACAUCACCCCUGCAGCUUGAUGGAGCACAGCACCAAGCAGGAAGUUCUCAUUUUUUUUUUUUUUUUUAAUGUCCACACCCAUGACAUACAGAAGUUUCUGGCCCAGGGAUUGAAUCUAAGUUUCAGCUAUGACCUAUGUGGCAGCUAUAGCAAUGCCAGAUCCCUUAACCCGCUGCACCAAGCUGGGGAUCAAACCCUCACCUCUGCAGCAACCCAAGCUGCUGCAGUUAGAUUUUUAACCCACUGCACCACAGCUGGAACUCUGGGGAAGUUCUCUUUAAUAGUUCCUCACUUUCUUCCUUGAUCCAAAAAGAAAAAUAUUUGUAUUCGGAAAGUUCUCUUCUGCUAAGAAGUUUCUAUUAACAUCUCUUUCUCCUUUCAGUGAAGUCUGUUUCUGGGUCAAGGGGAGUGUUUUAAGAAACAGAAAAAUAGAGACACACACAUAACUGCAAUAGGUAGCUGAACUUCAUCAGGAGCCUUGAGUAGCCAAGAAAACAUUCUUCUGAUGCAACUUCAGAGUUUCAUCCCCUGCUCCAAAAUUUAUCAUGUAAUUAGUACCCAAAAUGCCUCCUUUAACCAACACCCAUUGCAACCUAUGGAAAAGAUGUAGCAUUUUUUUUUUUGAAAUUCUAGAUGGACCUAAGGAUUACCUGACUCCUAUUGCCAUCACCUCUUAAUCACACAAAACUGUUUUCCUAAACACCAACCUUUUUCCCUAUAAAAACCACUGACCCCUCAGUAUACCUAGUACCUUUUUUCCUCCCUUUAAAUUAUUAUUCCUUACUCUUUUCCGUUCUGGGGCCCUGAGCCAGAUUCUCAGAAUUAAUCCUGAGUUCUCCCAAAUGCCAUGACAAGUUAGAAGGGAAAUUGGGGGACUGCACUGAAAAUACAUGGUAUAGAGAGUAAAUGUUACAGCUGUUGACAAGUGGCAGUUUGGGGUAUCAGCAAUGAAUUCCACAUUUUUCUAUAGGCUUCUUUUUACUUCACUUUAGGAUCCACUGAUCCUAAUAGAAACAAGUUAAAACUGCAGUUCCCUUCGUGGCGCAGUGGUUAACGAAUCCGACUAGUAACCAUGAGGUUGUGGGUUUGAUCCCUGGCCUUGCUCAGUGGGUUAAGGAUCCGGCGUUGCUGUGAGCUGUGGUGUAGGCCGGUGGCUGCAGCUCCGAUUAGACCCCUAGCUUGGGAAUCUCCAUAUGCCCCUGGAGCAGCCAUAGAAAAGGCAAAAAG